GAGUUAAACUCUGGUGGGUUCUUGAUCAGAUCAGAAUGUGAUUUACAGUGAAGCAGAGACCCGCUUCCUUCUCUCUCUGCCUUGAUCAAGUUAUAUUGGAAAAGAGGCAGUAAGUGUCGAAGCUUGCGGCGUGUUGGCAGGCCCACCGGAAGAGGUUAGAUGCAGCUUUACUAAGUAUACUCUUAAGCUGGGAUAAGUUUCCGUUCAUUGGAUCCCUCCCGGCGGUUGGAAUCCUAAUGUCCGACACGUCUAUCCUCUGAAGAUUGCAUAUGCCGGAUCCUUUAUCGUCACUGAAGCCUGCAACCGAGCAUACUUUUCAACGAGCAUUCUUCGGGACAGAGGCAGUCAUUACAGUGAUCCGUCCUUGUGUUUCAUAUCUUCCUCGGCGUCAGGAAGAUUAUAAGUUCAUAACCCUAGCCCAUUCCCAUUUUGGGCGGAACAGAUCUACUAAUUCUUUGAUUCCAAUUGGGUUCCAACCCUUUCUUCAACAUAGGUGACAACGAGCGGGGCAGAGAUGGAAGAGAUCGAACACGGGAAUA